GUCCCAGCAGCCGCGGUAAUACGGAGGGUGCGAGCGUUAAUCGGAAUUACUGGGCGUAAAGCGCAUGCAGGUGGUUUGUUAAGUCAGAUGUGAAAGCCCGGGGCUCAACCUCGGAAUAGCAUUUGAAACUGGCAGACUAGAGUACUGUAGAGGGGGGUAGAAUUUCAGGUGUAGCGGUGAAAUGCGUAGAGAUCUGAAGGAAUACCGGUGGCGAAGGCGGCCCCCUGGACAGAUACUGACACUCAGAUGCGAAAGCGUGGGGAGCAAACAGGAUUAGAUACCCUGGUAGUCCACGCCGUAAACGAUGUCUACUUGGAGGUUGUGGCCUUGAGCCGUGGCUUUCGGAGCUAACGCGUUAAGUAGACCGCCUGGGGAGUACGGUCGCAAGAUUAAAACUCAAAUGAAUUGACGGGGGCCCGCACAAGCGGUGGAGCAUGUGGUUUAAUUCGAUGCAACGCGAAGAACCUUACCUACUCUUGACAUCCAGAGAACUUUCCAGAGAUGGAUUGGUGCCUUCGGGAACUCUGAGACAGGUGCUGCAUGGCUGUCGUCAGCUCGUGUUGUGAAAUGUUGGGUUAAGUCCCGCAACGAGCGCAACCCUUAUCCUUGUUUGCCAGCGAGUAAUGUCGGGAACUCCAGGGAGACUGCCGGUGAUAAACCGGAGGAAGGUGGGGACGACGUCAAGUCAUCAUGGCCCUUACGAGUAGGGCUACACACGUGCUACAAUGGCGCAUACAGAGGGCGGCCAACUUGCGAAAGUGAGCGAAUCCCAAAAAGUGCGUCGUAGUCCGGAUUGGAGUCUGCAACUCGACUCCAUGAAGUCGGAAUCGCUAGUAAUCGUGGAUCAGAAUGCCACGGUGAAUACGUUCCCGGGCCUUGUACACACCGCCCGUCACACCAUGGGAGUGGGCUGCAAAAGAAGUAGGUAGUUUAACCUUCGGGGGGACGCUUACCACUUUGUGGUUCAUGACUGGGGUGAAGUCGUAACAAGGUAACC
rnacentral:rRNA from 1 species